rnacentral:rRNA from 1 species
CAAUAGCGUAUAUUAAAGUUGUUGCGGUUAAAAAGCUCGUAGUUGGAUUUCUGCCGAGGACGACCGGUCCGCCCUCCGGGUGAGUAUCUGGUUUGGCCUGGGCAUCUUCUUGGAGAACGUAGCCGCACUUGACUGUGUGGUGCGGUGUCCAGGACUUUUACUUUGAGGAAAUUAGAGUGUUUCAAGCAGGCACACGCCUUGAAUACAUUAGCAUGGAAUAAUAAGAUAGGACCUCGGUUCUAUUUUGUUGGUUUCUAGAGCUGAGGUAAUGAUUAAUAGGGAUAGUUGGGGGCAUUCGUAUUUAACUGUCAGAGGUGAAAUUCUUGGAUUUGUUAAAGACGGACUACCGCGAAAGCAUUUGCCAAGGAUGUUUUCAUUGA